GACGAACGCUGGCGGCGUGCUUAACACGUGCAAGUCGAACGGAAAGGCCCUGCUUUUGUGGGGUGCUCGAGUGGCGAACGGGUGAGUAACACGUGAGUAACCUGCCCUUGACUUUGGGAUAACUUCAGGAAACUGGGGCUAAUACCGGAUAGGAGCUCCUGCUGCAUGGUGGGGGUUGGAAAGUUUCGGCGGUUGGGGAUGGACUCGCGGCUUAUCAGCUUGUUGGUGGGGUAGUGGCUUACCAAGGCUUUGACGGGUAGCCGGCCUGAGAGGGUGACCGGCCACAUUGGGACUGAGAUACGGCCCAGACUCCUACGGGAGGCAGCAGUGGGGAAUAUUGCACAAUGGGCGGAAGUCUGAUGCAGCAACGCCGCGUGCGGGAUGACGGCCUUCGGGUUGUAAACCGCUUUCGCCUGUGACGAAGCGUGAGUGACGGUAAUGGGUAAAGAAGCACCGGCUAACUACGUG
rnacentral:rRNA from 1 species